AUUGAACGCUGGCGGAAUGCUUUACACAUGCAAGUCGAACGGCAGCACGGACUUCGGUCUGGUGGCGAGUGGCGAACGGGUGAGUAAUGUAUCGGAACGUGCCCAGUCGUGGGGGAUAACGUAGGGAAAAUUAAGCUAAUACCGCAUACGAUCUAUGGAUGAAAGCGGGGGAUCGCAAGACCUCGCGCGAUUGGAUCGGCCGAGAUCAGAUUAGUUAGUUGGUGGGGUAAAGGCCCACCAAGCCAACGAUCUGUAGCUGGUCUGAGAGGACGACCAGCCACACUGGAACUGAGACACGGUCCAGACUCCUACGGGAGGCAGCAGUGGGGAAUUUUGGACAAUGGGCGAAAGCCUGAUCCAGCCAUUCCGCGUGCAGGAUGAAGGCCCUCGGGUUGUAAACUGCUUUUGUACAGAACGAAAAGGUUUCUACUAAUACUAGGAGCUCAUGACGGUACUGUAAGAAUAAGCACCGGCUAACUACGUGCCAGCAGCCGCAGUAA
rnacentral:rRNA from 1 species